rnacentral:lncRNA from 1 species
GUGCUAGGUUUCACAUAGGAGCCUUCUCACGCAGUGUACUAGGAACCAAGCCACACUCGAGUUCUCAGGUGUUUAAUGGCUUACAGGAAAAUAUCAAAAAGGGCUGUUGGUUCCCAUGAGGCUCACAAUCACAAAAACCAAGUCACGCAUGGGAUUUGACAUGGUCAUACAAUUGGAUGUGGGUCCGAGUGGGGCCGGUCAUAUAAGAGUGGACA